CACGUAGGCAUCAAGCGUUGUCCGGAUUUAUUGGGCGUAAAGAGCUCGUAGGCGGUUUAGUAAGUCGGGUGUGAAAACUCUGGGCUUAACCCAGAGCCUGCACUCGAAACUGCUAUGACUAGAGUUCGGUAGGGGAGUGGGGAAUUCCUGGUGUAGCGGUGAAAUGCGCAGAUAUCAGGAGGAACACCGAUGGCGAAAGCACCACUCUGGGCCGAUACUGACGCUGAGGAGCGAAAGCGUGGGUAGCAAACAGG
rnacentral:rRNA from 1 species